CGCGUCCUUAACUCCUUAUUCUUCUCCCCACGCGUCGAUACUCUCCUCCUCCUUCUUCUCAAAAAAAUACUCUCUCCUUCUCCAGUUCUUUCUUCUUCUUCCUCCUCUUUACUUCUUCGGAUCUUCCUCUUCCGCUAGACGACCUCGCCAUCAAAUCCUCACAUUCGCUCUUCUUCAAGACCCUCAAAUCUCGAGGCUGCGACCUCGAUUUCAAGAAUUGAUUCGUUUUGGACCAUUUGCUUCUGCUUCUUGGUUUUCGUGCCCUCGCCGUUUUGGUUCUCACCGUCUUGGAAAUCGGUGGCGUAUUUUUUUUUCCGGUGGAGGAGAAAUUUGAUUGCUUUGAACUCUUCUUUUGGGGCUGUCAAUUGGGUGGAGCUGGGUUUGGAUAAUUUAGUUGCUCGCCGACGAUCCCAAGAUCCGGUUACAGAGGUACGGCCAGCUCACCCAUGACUCCUCGAUUUCAAGCUCACUGACGAUCGUAAGAUCGGGUUUUUGCAGAAGAUACAGACCUAAUUCUCAAAUCUGAAGGAACUGGCGGCUUUGAUUCAACGGAUCGAUGAUUGCUUUUACUGAUUGUUUGAUGCAUGUUUUGAUUUUGAAUCUUUGUGUAGUUUAUGUUGAAAUCUGAAGGAAGUAAUUUUAUGUUCUUGGUGUACUGAGAAGAAUUCUGAUGGAUUUUGACUCUGAUAACGUUUUGAUUCAUAUUGCAGUACUGUAAAUUCAUGUU